UUUAAAAAAUCAAUUGUGGAAUUCAGGAAAGAGAAAAUGAAGCAUAUUCCAUGAUUUGGAAAAGAAGAUUCUACCACCACCAGACUCCUCAUUGGAGAACAAUAACCUUUUCAGUCUUAUUGAUAUGUAGGAAUCAAUAAACCUUCGGAAUGAACAGUUGUAAAGAAAACAAUUCUAUUCAGCAACUCAAUCAUUUCAGCAAGGACCCAUUCAGUUUAACUAACAGAGAACUCUUAAGAGUUCAAACACAAGGAAUGGUUCCUUUUGAUCUAGGAAGAAAGUCGAUCAACAGCAUGUGUCAAUCCCAAACUAAUUGGGUCGACUAUACGAAUCUGCUCCGUCCAUUCUGCUCUAGUCAUUCAUCAUAGUUGCAGUGGGGGUUCAAAGAAAAAUUAACAAGGUUGUAGCUAGUGGGAGUAGAGCCAAUAACUUUACAAAGGUUUUGGUAGAUGUCAAGGAGAUUCAAAACAUGAUAUAUAAAAGGUAAAAUAGAUUUUGUCUUACGUAUACAGUGUAAUUUUCGGGAAAAGGGAUUCAGGUGAACACCCUUCCGCCUCCCUAAAUCCGCCCCUGCAUAGUUGUAUUCUAUUUUUAUCCGCCCCUGCAUAG
rnacentral:lncRNA from 1 species